rnacentral:rRNA from 1 species
UACAGAGGUCCCAAGCGUUGUUCGGAUUCACUGGGCGUAAAGGGUGCGUAGGUGGCGCCGUAAGUCAGGUGUGAAAUCUCGGGGCUUAACUCCGAAACUGCAUUUGAUACUGCGGUGCUUGAGGACUGGAGAGGAGACUGGAAUUUACGGUGUAGCAGUGAAAUGCGUAGAGAUCGUAAGGAAGACCAGUGGCGAAGGCGGCCUUCUGGACAGUGACUGACGCUGAGACGCGAAAGCGUGGGGAGCAAACAGG